UACGGGGGGGGCAAGCGUUGUUCGGAAUUACUGGGCGUAAAGGGCUCGUAGGUGGCCAACUAAGUCAGACGUGAAAUCCCUCGGCUUAACCGGGGAACUGCGUCUGAUACUGGAUGGCUUGAAUUCGGGAGAGGGAUGCAGAAUUCCAGGUGUAGCGGUGAAAUGCGUAGAUAUCAAGUGGAACACCAGUGGCGAAGGCGAAUCCCUGGAAAAUACCUGACACUGAGGCACGAAAGCUAGGGGAGCAAACAGG
rnacentral:rRNA from 1 species